GAUGUACGCUGGCGGCGUGCCUAAUACAUGCAAGUCGAGCGGUAAGGCCCUUCGGGGUACACGAGCGGCGGACGGCUGAGUAACACGUAGGAACCUACCCCAAACUGAGGGAUAAGCACCAGAAAUGGUGUCUAAUACCGCAUGUGCUCUACGGAGUAAAGCUUCGGCGGUUUGGGAAGGGCCUGCGUCCGAUUAGCUAGUUGGUGGUAUAAAAGACUACCAAGGCGACGAUCGGUAGCUGGUCUGAGAGGAUGAUCAGCCAGACUGGGACUGAGACACGGCCCAGACUCCUACGGGAGGCAGCAGUAGGGAAUUUUCCACAAUGGGCGAAAGCCUGAUGGAGCAACGCCGCGUGCAGGAUGAAUGCCUUCGGGUUGUAAACUGCUUUUAUCUGUGACGAAUAUGACGGUAGCAGAUGAAUAAGGACCUGCUAACUACGUGCCAGCAGCCGCCGUAA
rnacentral:rRNA from 1 species